rnacentral:rRNA from 1 species
GUAUGCUUAUAAUACGUAAGACCUGCUCAAUGAUACUUCAAAUAGCCGCAGUACAAUGUGCUAAGGUAGCAUAAUAAUUUGCCUUAUAAUUGAAGGCCAGAAUGAACGGUUUAACAUAUGAAUUUCUUUAUUAAUAUGGUUUCUUCAACUUUACAUAUAAGUAAAAAGGCUUAUAUUUAUAGAGGGACGACAAGACCCUGUCGAGCUUCACUUCAGUUUUACUGGGGCGGUUCCAAACAAAUUCUUUAUCCAUUCUUCCAUCUUAUCCUUUUUAAAAGAAUCAAACAAGUUACCGCAGGGAUAACAGCAUAAUUCUUUUUAUAAGACCUUAUUUUUAAAAGAGAUUGUGACCUCGAUGUUGAAUUAUUUUAUCUUUUAGGAGCAGAACCUUAAAAAGAAAGUCUGUUCGACUUUUAAAAAUUUACAUGAUUUGAGUUCAGACCGGCGUAAGCCAGGUCGGUUUCUAUCUUCUUGUUACAAUUUUCAGUACGAAAGGACAAAAAUUGAAGCUUAAAGCUCCCCUUUUAGCAAAA